CACGCCGUAAACGAUGAUAACUAGCUGUCCGGGCACUUGGUGCUUGGGUGGCGCAGCUAACGCAUUAAGUUAUCCGCCUGGGGAGUACGGUCGCAAGAUUAAAACUCAAAGGAAUUGACGGGGGCCUGCACAAGCGGUGGAGCAUGUGGUUUAAUUCGAAGCAACGCGCAGAACCUUACCAGCCUUUGACAUCCCGCGCCAACCCAGGAGACUGGGUGUUCCCUUCGGGGACGCGGUGACAGGUGC
rnacentral:rRNA from 1 species